CGGGUUCUGCUCUUUUCGUGCAAGGCCCUUUUCCAGUGGCCGAUAAUCUCUUCCGAGGGAGCUGGCUCUGUCAGGAUCGUGGUCUUGGUAUCCGGUGCCCACCUGUUAAAUCAGGCUCUCGGGAAAAAACAGCCUUCACGGUCGCUGCGGUUCCCGC
rnacentral:other from 1 species